GGAAAAUUUGAAUCAAAUAGGCUCCAGCCUCAUAAGCCGGAGGUCGGGAGUUCAAGUCUCCCCCGUGACACCA
rnacentral:tRNA from 1 species